rnacentral:rRNA from 1 species
AGCGAACGCUGGCGGCAUGCCUAACACAUGCAAGUCGCACGGGUCGGCUUCGGCCGGUCGGUGGCGGACGGGUGAGGAACGCGUAGGGUGCUGUCCUCUGGUGGGGGAUAACCGCGGGAAACUGCGGCUAAGACCGCAUGGCGCGCCGGUGGGAGAUCCGGCGGCAAAGGCGCGCAUCGCGCGGUGUGUGUCGACGGGGGGUGAGGCUGCGUCCGAUUAGCUGGUUGGCGGGGGAGCGGCCCACCAAGGCGUGGAUCGGUAGCUGGUCUGAGAGGGUGGUCAGCCACACUGGGACUGAGACACGGCCCAGACUCCUACGGGAAGCAGCAGUGGGGAAUAGUGGACAAUGGGCGCAAGCCUGAUCCAGCAAUGCCGGGUGGGUGAAGAAGGUCUUCGGAUUGGAAAGCCCUUUCGGCGGGGACGAUGGUGACGGUACCCGCAGAAGAAGCCCCGGCUAACUUCGUG